ACUUUAAUUGAAGAGUUUGAUCAUGGCUCAGAUUGAACGCUGGCGGCAGGCCUAACACAUGCAAGUCGAGCGGUAACAGAUUGAUAGCUUGCUAUCAAUGCUGACGAGCGGCGGACGGGUGAGUAAUGCCUGGGAAUAUACCCUGAUGUGGGGGAUAACUAUUGGAAACGAUAGCUAAUACCGCAUAAUCUCUUCGGAGCAAAGAGGGGGACCUUCGGGCCUCUC
rnacentral:rRNA from 3 species